UGCAUUUCUUCCCACAGGCUACAGGAUGACUCCUUACUGGUUCUCAACAGCCACAUAGGAAUAGAUUUGAGGCACAGCCUGCUGCUAGGACUAUGUAGUAUGUUGUAGGGGCAAGACUAUCAUUUUAUUGUGCAUAUGCAUCUUGUAUCCUCUCUCAUGGGAUGCUGAUCCAUAACAGAGUCUUCUAGAGUCUCACACAACACAAAGAAUUCAGACUAGUUUCCCACGGACAUGCUCCAUAAAAGAAUUUCUUAGAAGAGAUAACUCAGCCAGGAAGUGGGAACUAGGGGGCCAGAUUCCUUCAUUCAAGUCAAUCUCCCAUCGGUAAAGGAUUUGAAGAAUUGUCCCUAUAUGACUAAUUCCAACUCUGCUUCCCUGAGUUCAGUAACAGUUUCUAAAGUAGAAGGGUGAAGCCAUUUGAGAGAAUCAAGUUUUAUUUGCUUUUUAUUCAUUAAGGAUUUUUUUGGCUAGAUUGAAUUUCUAAUAAUAUUUUAUUAAAAUUUAUGAAAUCUAGAAUUACUUUUCAAUAUCUAUAUCAUCUUCUGAUCCUUAAUACUUUUCAUCAAGCUCAAGGAAUGAAAACAAACUCAGCUGUUCCAUGUUUGUUCAUAAUUGACUUUUACCAGGGUUGUGUUAGCAUUGUUACAUCCUCAUUAUUAGAUGAUGGCAGAGUGCACAUUUCUGGGACAAGGCAGAAUACCCAUUCUUGCCUUCAGCAGUUUGCAACUGGAAAUUAGAGUGUACCCAGUCUGCUAGGAGAGCCAGAGACCGUGCUGCUGCUUUCACAGCCACCUCUGUCCCUUCCUCUACAUUGUCUGCAGAGCACACAGUGAAUUUGGCUCAUUUUCUUUGUUUAUGUGUCCAGUUGAUUUGAUGCCUGAAGUGAAUGCACACACUCUACACAAUGCACAGAAGAUUUUGGCUUUUUAUGGCUAAUUGAAAGUCUUUCCAUUUAUGUUAGAUUAAGCUGUAUUGGAUUUAGUUAAGCUAGUGCUGGGUAGCCACUUUUAUUCUGCACUAAGAGUGAUUUGUGUCUAUUUACCUUCAAUCCAUUCCUAAUUGGCUUGCACUGAGCUGAACUAACACCUGAUUUAUGCCCUCAAUUAUCCCAUUUCAGCCAACAGCUCAGGCAUGCUGUCCGGUUCCAGCAACUGAACGAGUUAGCGCACAUCAGUUGAGGCACAGUAACUGCAGCUUGCCUUGCUUUAGCCUGCAGCAAACGUGAGGUUCAGUGUGUCAGCUUAACCUCAGGGCCAAGAAAAGGAAAAGUCUAAACUGGUUUCUUCCAUCUGAGAUGGCCACAGGCUAAGAGCACACACAUGGUCAAUUACCAUGGCUCAGUUGAUGCAUGGUAAGUUGUCAAGCAUGUCAGUACGUGAAUGAGAUCACUCAGUCAUGUAUUCAGACCAUGCAAGUAUCAUUUUAAACUGGUGUUACAUAAAGAAGUGUAACUAUGGAUAUGGACACGUGGACAAAUUGGCAUGGGGAUAACAAGUCUCUGUGUGUCAGCUUUUCCUAUACACGUACCUGCAGGAAAUGCUAGAUGAUUUGAGGUAGCCUUGUCCUCUUUUGCCCAGGGGAAAGGUAUAGUGAAGGCACAGUAAAUUCAGAGCCUGGCUUCCAUUGCAAUAAUGGUUUUAACCUAUUUUAGAACAGUUCAGCUCUGCUAAAGUGUAACAAAACAGAUUUAAACUACUUCUACACCAGUUAAACUAUACCUGUUGCUUAGUUUACUCUGCUUAGGUCAAAUCUUUUGCAGGCCAGAUCUUUGAAUGAAUAAGAGACUUUCCAUUGCCUUCAUAAAGCAAUAUGUAAUAGAGAAGCUUGAGAACCCUUCAUUUUAGAGUUCAGUCGAAAAAUGAACUUGUAUCUUUCUUAAGAACCAUUGGAAAAAAACCCAAGACAAACAAUAGAAGAAACCCAACAGUCCCAAACUUUCAGCUUUCCUCCCAGGUAACACUAGUUGUCGUACUUCAUCCUUGUAGGAGAGCUGAGGAGAAAUUUGCUCCUUUCCAACAAGGAGCACAACAGGAUUUGCUAAACUGAAAUGAAAGACAGAAAAGUUCCAAACCCAGGAUGAGCCUGGACCCUUUCAAACGAUGACUGAGGUUAGUGAAACAGAGGAUCAAACACCACAACUUUGUAUACUUUUCCUUUUUAUUCAGUAUCUUGAACUCAAUCUCAGUUAAUCUUUCUCUACUUCCAUAUAAUGAAAGGGAAGACAUUUGAUUAGGUUAUGUGAGAUCACACGGAUUGAUUCAACACAUGGCUGCAGGACCAGGCGUUAUUAUCUCUGCUAACACGGACACAUUUUGAACACUGCUUCUCACUCUGCUAUCAGCCACCGCCACCUCUGCAGUAAUGUGACAGCAAGAGAAAAAGGAUGGGAAGGCGAUAAAGUUUGCCCACGCAAGUAGAAAAGAACUUUCUGUCCAAAGCCAGCUGGCUUGGCUUGGAAAUGAAAUGGCAUUUUAGGAUGAGGUGACCUGUUUAUAUGUGUAUCAGAGCUUUGUCUCAAAGCACUUGUCCUAGAUGCUAUAGCAGGGUCUGUGAAGUAGUUUAUCAUUAAGUAAGUAACCACGGAAAACAGGUGAGCUGUCUCAGUGCCAGUUUGUCUUCUAAACUGUUUGACAGAUAAGAAACCAUCCUCAGAGACUGCAACAAAUGUGCUGCCGCAUUUCAUGGUUAGAACUGAGCAUAUUUUUAGUAAAGGGUUGAGAAAGUAUGCAAUAAUCCUAAAUCACAGCCAAGAAAACCAUAAACCCCUUAACAAAUGCCUGUUCAGAUACAGAACUCUGAAAUGUGCACCAGUUGAUCCAUGUUAACACUUUGGUUGGAUUUUUAAACUUAUUUUCCAAACAAAAGCAAACGUUCAGCAGAGAUCGAUGGCAUUUUUGCCUUUACCUGAAGGGGCCAGAGGGAUCCUGUGGGAUCAUCCUAUGUGUACCCCCAAAGGAAUCAAUGGGAAAUACACCGAUGACAUAUUUGUACUGAGGGAGUCUGGACCCCGUUACAAUAGGCCCAAAAUGCACCUUAUAAGCUGCCCAAGCUUAAGAAUUAAACUUUAUUUCUUAAGUUAACUGCUUUGAAAUUUCUGUGUUAUGCCUUACACAUUAUAACAGAGCCACUGUGGGCUCUGGGGAUGAAGCUUACAAGGUCAGGGCAAUAAAAGCUGCUUUUCACAUGCGCAGUUUGGUCAGUGGCAUUUACAGCAAAGCAGGUAAAUGCAGGAAAAAUAACGCUUAUACUUGCAUUUUAAAAGCAGCUCUAACUGAUUGCAGUGGGAGCUGAAGUCUCCUGUGCAAGUCAGAAGCAACUUAUCUGGCUUUUAAGAGUUCCAUGAGUCUUUUGUCACUUGAAGAGGCCCCAUCAACUUCAAACCUACUUUAAAAAGGAGUUCAAAAUCUUUCCAGGUAUGAUAGUCUCCUAUAUCUAUUUCUGUCUCUUUUGUUUCUUAACAGCAUGGGAUACUGACCACACAUACUGCUGUCAAAUAUAGAAAUUAAACUUAGAGUAAAAAGGAGACAUUUUCUCUUUAAUCCCUUAGAAAAUUUUCCAGAAUAAAAUACAGUUCUUAAGUUUAUAAUAUCCCUUUAAGAAUUUAUUUGCCAGGUAAUGUUAGAAGAAGAAGGACUUUAAGGUCAGUUUGAACAUUUAAAAAGACCUCUUUUUAAAUCAAUUUUGAAUCUAUAUUUAAGAUAAUGGCAAGCACUGUUUGCACAGGUCUCCAAAUGAUAAAAUAUAUUCUAUAUCUUAAGAAUACAGGUAACUUUAAAAUCCUUUUAAGUGAUUUCUAGCUCUUUGGAAAAAGGGCAAGAUCUACCUAAGAAAUACUUUGUUGAAUAAAAAUAGUAGUUUAGUGUUGCAAUAUCUGACAGUCAUAGUAUGCAUAAAGCUACAAAAUCAUUAUCAGAUGAAGGCCUGCAGUUUUGGAAUAACAUGGUAAAUACGAUUGUUGGUUUUUUUUGAGGGGUGAAAUAACACAAUGCCAUCAGAAGAGAAAAGUACAUUCUAAUAACAAAAACAUUGAAUGUAACUAUUUUUCUUUAGAUCUGCUAUGCAAUCUGUGUGUUCUCUAUAAGAUGUCAAACUAUACUGUGCAUAUGUACACUUUGCUCUCUCUAUAAAUGUACAUGUGCAUGACACAUUUCUGAAAGCAGUAAAUGAGUGCUGGGGAAAUACAGAAACAAUGAAGUUCCUAAGAGAGGCUGAUUUUUUCAAGUUAUUAAAAGAAGGUGGCAAGCAUUCAUGAGGAUAUGAGAAUUUAAAGCCGUCUGCAGGAAACUCUGAAAACCUCUGGUUAAGGCUGCUGCCAAAAAAUCUCAGCUAUGUUAUGUCAGAAUGUUUAAUUGCAAGCUGCAGUUUUAAUGAAUGGAAAGAUAUGGCAAAAGCAGGAAGUUUCUGAAGCAACACAGAGCGACCAAGAAAAUAAAAUACCAAAGGUUGUAAUCUUGAAUGCUGUUGGAAGCAGGAAUUUCCAUCCACGCUCCGAGUCCUUUUCCUACUGCGCAGAAUUUGCCAGCUGUCUGGCUGAGGGGAGAGGUAAGCUGUUCUGGAUAUCAUCUCCUGGGCUCAGGGCAGCACUUGUUAUGUCUACAUGAAGAAGUCAGCUUCUUUACGUUUGUCAUUAUGGGUGUUUACAGAAAUGCAGCUUAGGAAUAAAGGGAGGAAAGGCAAAUGUCAGAGUGCAUUAAAUAACAUAUUUUCUUUACUUUCCAAGAAGCUUGCUCGCAGCAUGAUGUUACUAUUUAUAUCAGAUCUCUUAAACCCAGCUGUUGGUUCAUGUUAACAUGCGGAAUGGUGAGAAAAUCCCAGCAGAAGAGCGCGAAUCCCGGGGAGACUUGUGUUCUGUCAUUGUGAGGACCUAGAAAACAUCCCAAGUUUUGCUGAGGACACAAAACCUGAUUUCUGGAAUAUAAGGAACAUUUGAAAGGAGGCCUGAGGAACAGCCAUGGUACAGCUCUGGAGUGGUUUCUAAGAAGGUCCUAAAACAGAAAGCACUGUUGAUCCUUGUGUCCUGAAGCAGAGACAAGCCCUCUCCAUCGGUGAUUUAGUGCUUGGAAAUGGUUCCCAUUGUUUCACUCCGAGGCUGCGGGUACCUUGCAGGAUAACUGUGGAGAGGUUGUGGAGUGCAGAUGAUUUUUGGUGAGUACCUUUUUUAUCAUAAAAAAAAUUAUUUUUGGCUAAUUCUUCAAUCACUGCCGUAUGUGAAGGAGAAAUACGCCGAUUUUAUGUCUUUUAUUAUGUGUUCCAAAGUAGUCUUUUCUACUUAAUGGGAACUCUGACAAAGAUAACAUGAGAUGGAAGAACCAAGGUGGACGUCUGUCACCUGAGCCUGAAAUGUGAAGAUGGAGCUCAUGUCCUCAUAGAGCAGUGAUUCUCACAGGACAGUCAGA